rnacentral:rRNA from 1 species
UCCUACGGGAGGCAGCAGUCGAGAAUUUUUCACAAUGGGCGCAAGCCUGAUGGAGCGACGCCGCGUGGGGGAUGAAUGGCUUCGGCCCGUAAACCCCUGUCAUUUGCGAACAAAUUGGUUCAAUUAACACCUGAACCAUUGAUAGUAGCGAAAGAGGAAGGGACGGCUAACUCUGUGCCAGCAGCCGCGGUA